UUCCGGUUGAUCCUGCCGGACCCUACUGCUAUCGGGGUGGGACUAAGACAUGCGAGUCGAGCGUCUCCAGCUAUGGUGAGACGCGGCAGACGGCUCAGUAACACGUGGCUAACCUACCCUCAGGACGGGGACAAACCCGGGAAACUGGGGCUAAUACCCGAUAGGCGAGGGCGCCUGGAAUGGUUCUUCACCCAAAGGGCUUUGGAAGCAUGCUUUUCAAAGUCGCCUGGGGAUGGGGCCGCGUCCGAUCAGGUUGUUGGUGAGGUAACGGCUCACCAAGCCUAUAACCGGUACGGGCCGUGAGAGCGGUAGCCCGGAGAUGGGCACUGAGACAAGGGCCCAGGCCCCACGGGGCGCAGCAGUCGCGAAAACUCCGCAAUGCACGAAAGUGUGACGGGGCUACCCCGAGUGCCGUCCGCUGAGGAUGGCUUUUCCUCGGUGUAAUUAGCCGGGGGAAUAAGGAGAGGGCAAGACUGGUGUCAGCCGCCGCGGUAAUACCAGCUCUCCGAGUGGUAGGGAUGAUUAUUGGGCUUAAAGCGUCCGUAGCCGGCUUAGCAAGUCUCCUGUUAAAUUCAGCGACCUAAUCGUUGAGCCGCGGGAGAUACUACUAGGCUAGGAGGCGGGAGAGGUCGACGGUAUUUCCGGGGUAGGGGUGAAAUCCUAUAAUCCCGGGAGGACCACCAGUGGCGAAGGCUGUCGACUAGAACGCGCUCGACGGUGAGGGACGAAAGCUGGGGGAGCGAACCGGAUUAGAUACCCGGGUAGUCCCAGCCGUAAACGAUGCGGGCUAGGUGUUGGGGUGGCUACGUGCCACUUCAGUGCCGCAGGGAAGCCAUUAAGCCCGCCGCCUGGGGAGUACGGUCGCAAGGCUGAAACUUAAAGGAAUUGGCGGGGGAGCACCACAAGGCGUGAA
rnacentral:rRNA from 1 species